rnacentral:rRNA from 1 species
UAACACACAAGCAAGAGCGUCUGGGGGAUGCCUAUGGCUUCUGGUGGCGAUGAAGGACGUGGCAAGCGACGAAACGCUUAGGGGACCCGCUGGCAGGGGCUGAUCCUAAGGUGUCCGAAUGGGGCAACCCGGCGUGCUGAAGGCACGUCACCCGCAUGCGGGGGCAAACCUCCUGAACUGAAACAUCUAAGUAGGGAGAGGAAAAGAAAACAAGUAGUGAUUCCGUGGGUAGUGGCGAGCGACAGCGGAACAGCCCAAACCACUCCCGUUACGGCGGGGGCGGGGUUAUAGGACCUGAAUAAAGCAUACGCAACUGAACGAUAAUGGCUUGGGAAAGCCAACCGUAGCGGGUGAGAGUCCCUUUUCGGCAGGGGGUGUAUGUGGUUGGGUAUCCUGAGUAGGGGGAAGCCAGUGGAACUUCCUCUGAAUUCGGCAGUACCAUCUGCCAAGGCUAAAUACGACCAGAAGACCGAUAGUGGACAGUACCGUGAGGGAACGGUGAAAAGGACGGGGAGUACCCGGGUGAAAUAGACCCUGAAACCAGACGCUUACAAGCGGUCGGAGCAAGAGUGAAUCUUGUGACGGCGUGCCUUUUGCAUAAUGAGCCUACGAGUAACGGUGACCGGCGAGGUUAAGCACGUAGACGUGCGUAGCCGAAGCGAAAGCGAGUCUGAACAGGGCGCUUAGUCGGUUGCUGUUGACGCGAAACUUGGUGAUCUACCCAUGGCCAGGCUGAAGGUGUGGUAACACACACUGGAGGGCCGCACCGAUAAACGUUGAAAAGUUUCCGGAUGAGUUGUGGGUAGGGGUGAAAGGCCAAUCAAACUGAGAAAUAGCUCGUACUCUCCGAAAUGUUUUUAGGAACAGCGUUCAGUGUUACCCAUGUGGAGGUAGAGCGACCAACAGGAUGCGGGGGAGUCACAUCCUACCAACUUCUGAUGAACUCCGAAUGCCACAUGGGGUGCUGGGCAGUGAGGGGUGGGGUGCUAAGGUCCCAUUCCGAGAGGGGAACAACCCAGACCAUCCGCUAAGGUCCCCAAGUGUGUGCUAAGUUGAACAAAGGUGGUCCGGCUGCCGAGACAGCCAGGAGGUUAGCUUGGAAGCAGCUAUUCCUUUAAAGAGUGCGUAACAGCUCACUGGUCGAGCGGGGCGGGCAUCGAUAAUAAGCGGGCAUCAAGCACAUCACCGAAGCGGUGGAUCAUACAGUAUUACUGUAUUGAUGGUAGGAGAGCAUUCUGGCGGGGGUGAAGUUGUGGCGUGAGCCAUGGUGGACCUUCCAGAAAAGCAAAUGUAGGCAUAAGUAACGAGAAUGAGGGCGAGAACCCCUCACACCGAAAGACCCAGGUUUCCUCCGCGAUGGCAGUCAUCGGAGGGUUAGUCGGGACCUAAGGGGUUAGCGAAGGCGAGGCCCUGAUGGACAGCAGGUUAAUAGUCCUGCACUACUUUACAAUGUGAAUCAAUGACGGAGUGGAGGGCUUCAUACGACCGGACGGAAGUGGUCGUUGAGGGGAGGCUUCGGCUGAACCGAAUGGGGGAGUCUGCUUCCAAGAAAAGUUGGUGAAACAUCAGUUGUGGAGUACCCGUACCGCAAACCGACACAGGUGGUCGGGGCGAACAGCCCGAGGUGCGCGAGAGAAUCAUGGUUAAGGAACUCGGCAAGAUGACCCUGUAACUUCGGGAUAAGGGGGGCCUACUUCGGUAACGGAGAGGUUGCAGAGCAAAGGCCCAGGCGACUGUUUACCAAAAACACAGGACUCUGCCAAAUCGAAAGAUGACGCAUAGGGUCUGACACCUGCCCGGUGCUGGAAGGUUAAGAGGGGAUGUCAGCGCAAGCGAAGCAUUGAAUUGAAGCCCCAGUAAACGGCGGCCGUAACUAUAACGGUCCUAAGGUAGCGAAAUUCCUUGUCGGGUAAGUUCCGACCUGCACGAAUGGUGUAACGAUCUGGGCACUGUCUCAACCAUGAGCUCGGUGAAAUUGUAGUAACGGUGAAGAUGCCGUUUACCCGCCACGGGACGGAAAGACCCCGUGCACCUUUACUAUAGCUUAGUAUGGAGUGCUGGUCAGGCAUGUGUAGGAUAGGCGGGAGGAGUUGAAGUGGUGUCGCCAGGCAUCGUGGAUCCAAUGUUGAAAUACCGCCCUUGGCUGACUGGUGUUCUAACCCUUUUCAGGGGACAGUACUUGGUGGGUAGUUUGACUGGGGUGGUCGCCUCCGAAAGGGUAACGGAGGCUUCCCAAGGUUCGCUCAGGCUGGUUGGUAACCAGUCGUGGAGUGCAAUAGCAGAAGCGAGCUUGACAGUGAGGCAAACAGGCCGAUCUGGUGCGAAAGCAGGGUAUAGUGAUCCGGUGGUACUGCAUGGGUGGGCCAUCGCUCAAAGGAUAAAAGGUACGCCGGGGAUAACAGGCUGAUCUCCCCCAAGAGCUCACAUCGACGGGGAGGUUUGGCACCUCGAUGUCGGCUCGUCACAUCCUGGGGCUGGAGAAGGUUCCAAGGGUUCGGCUGUUCGCCGAUUAAAGUGGCACGCGAGCUGGGUUCAGAACGUCGUGAGACAGUUCGGUCCCUAUCUGUGGUGGGCGUUGGAAGUUUGCCGGGGGCUGUCCUUAGUACGAGAGGACCGGGAUGGACCAACCGCUGGUGGAUCAGUUGUUUGGCCGCAGGCACGGCUGAGUAGCUACGUUGGGUUAAGAUAAGCGCUGAAAGCAUCUAAGUGCGAAACUGGCCCGAAGAUUAGACUUCCAAGUAAAGGCUGUCGGAGACGACGACGUUGAUAGGCGGCAGGUGGCAGGGUAGAGAUAUCUGGAGCUGAGCCGUACUAAUGAGCCUGGAGUGUGUUGUG